ensembl:lncRNA
AUGCCUACUCUAAAGGAUUGCUACGCAUGCAGGGAAAAAAUCGGAGUUGCCAGCAAAACAUGUCAGCACUGUAGGGCCAAACAGCCAUAUAAGGAAUUGCUUGAAAAAAAAAAGAAACAGCUUUCCCAGGAAUGGAAAGAGAGACAAAAAAAAAACAGCAGUGUAAACAAAGUUUACGAUGCAACAAAUCUACUACUCCACAAGUGGGAACUUUUAGAGAGGUUCCCAGUGCUACUUCUUGCCAGGAGAACCUCAAAUGGAUUUUCAGCUGAAUGCUUCUGUCCAUGGAAGAUAGGGACGGAAGAUAGUCAGGAUGCUUUUCUGACAAUAAAGCGACUGUAUGAAAGUCUUCUCAAUGUGGCUAUUGCAGAUAAAGAAGCAAGCAGCACAGGAGAGAGUUCUGCCACAAACAUCACAGAGACUCCACCAGCAGACUCCACACAUCAGCUCACCUGUAAUGUGUCUAACAAAGAUAAAGAAGCAAGCAGCAUGGGAGAGAGUUCUGCCACAAACAGCACGGAGACAGAGACUUCACCAGAAGACUCCACAGCAGACCCAAAUUCAGAGCUCACCCCUGAGUCUGACACUGUUUUACUUCCUCCUGCAUCUUCCUCCUUGGCUUCUCCUGUUUCCUUUACCACCCCCUCUCUUAUGUCUUUAUCCAUUGCUCCUCCAGUGUCCCCCCUGACUCAUCCUGCUUUUGUGUCCUCUCAGUCUAGUCCUAUAUCUUCUUCCUCUGCUUCUCCUCUGCCACCAGCCUCUAACCUUUCUACCCGUUCUAAACUAUCCACUGAGCAAGGCAGUUCAGGCCCAGUAGCUUCCUCAUGGAAAAAAAGACAAAUAAAGAGGAAAGCAGACCCUAAAGAAUGCCCCAUGCAUGAGGAAUCAACCAGUUUCCCAUACAAAAAGAUACUGAGGAAAAGAAUGAGGGAGGGCCAUGCAGAGGUGUUGGUUCAGUGGCAUCCUUGCUCUGGAUGUGGGAAAAAGUGGAAGAACUCAUGGGAGCCAAAAAGAAAUAUUCAAAGUUCAUCCUGAAGAUGUGUGUGUGUUCAGAUGUGUUGUUUGUUGCUAGGUUGUAAAGUUGAUGCCCUGUAUGACAAUUACAGAGACUGACUUAAAAUUUUGUCUUUUAGUGUAAAGGCACAUCAGUUCUGAUCUACAGUAUGCUCGUGUUCUGAUUUGUGCUUGCUUUGUGAAGCACACAGUCUUUCUGUUUUUGAUGACUGGACUCAUAAAUUUUUUUUAAAUAUGUAACUGGCUCUGUUCCUUAAUAUAAUUUAAGAUUAUUUAUAAUUUGUCAUUUAAGAGCAAAAAUAUAUGCACUGUAACUAAGUGCAAUUACUGAUGUUUACUGCUGAAAAUUUCAGAUAAAUCCACGUUGUUAUUAUUAUUAUUAUUUAUUUUCGUUAUUCAUGACCAAAAAGCACAUAUUAGCCCACAGUCUAGAUGUGUUUUUAAAUCUAUAAUGUGUGUAUGGGAGGAUAGACCAGUACAUUUUUUUGGGCCUUGCAAAUGAGCAAACAUCUGAAGCUGGUACUUCCUUUCCCUGCAGGUAAGAACACAAGGAAGAUAUUGAUUAAAUACUAUCAAUACCAGAACAAUACUUUUUGUAAAUGAUGGCACUUACCAUGCCCAUCUGCCACUGGACUUUGAGAUAAAUGGGUAAUGUAGUCAAUAAUUUCCAUCAGUUAUAAACUCACCCAUUCAUUGCAAAACUUAUGUUAUUGCCCUGAGAGAUCUAAUCAGUGCUAUGAAGAGCCCCUGUCUUUGCUACACAUUAAAAAAAAAUAAAAAAAUUGCAGAAUUUAUAAAAUUAUUAAAA